rnacentral:rRNA from 1 species
CCUACGGGUGGCAGCAGUGAGGAAUAUUGGUCAAUGGGCGCGAGCCUGAACCAGCCAAGUAGCGUGAAGGAUGAAUGCCCUACGGGUUGUAAACUUCUUUUAUAAAGGAAUAAAGUGAGGCACGAGAGCCUUUUUGUAUGUACUUUAUGAAUAAGGAUCGGCUAACUCCGUGCCAGCAGCCGCGGUAAUACGGAGGAUCCGAGCGUUAUCCGGAUUUAUUGGGUUUAAAGGGAGCGUAGAUGGGUUGUUAAGUCAGUGGUGAAAGUUUGCGGCUCAACCGUAAAAUUGCAAUUGAUACUGGCAGCCUUGAGUACAGUUGAGGUAGGCGGAAUUCGUGGUGUAGCGGUGAAAUGCUUAGAUAUCACGAAGAACUCCGAUUGCGAAGGCAGCAUACUAACCUGCCACUGACAUUGAUGCUCGAAAGUGUGGGUAUCAAACAGGAUUAGAUACCCCAGUAGUC